GAGUUUGAAUCUUGGCUCAGAUUGAACGCUGGCGGCAUGCCUUACACAUGCAAGUCGAACGGCAGCACGGGAGCUUGCUCCUGGUGGCGAGUGGCGAACGGGUGAGUAAUGCAUCGGAACGUAUCCUGGAGUGGGGGAUAACGUAGCGAAAGUUACGCUAAUACCGCAUAUUCUGUGAGCAGGAAAGCGGGGGACCUUCGGGCCUCGCGCUCUUGGAGCGGCCGAUGUCGGAUUAGCUAGUUGGUGAGGUAAAGGCUCACCAAGGCGACGAUCCGUAGCAGGUCUGAGAGGAUGAUCUGCCACACUGGAACUGAGACACGGUCCAGACUCCGUACGGGAGGCAGCAGGUGGGUAAUUUUGGACAAGUGGGGGCAACCCGUGAUCCAGCCAUGCCGCGUGAGUGAAGAAGG
rnacentral:rRNA from 1 species